UCACUGAGGUACUCAAGCCCCACCACCACGACAAGGUGCAGAACCGUAACAGGUGGAUGUCUGAAGACUAUGCAUACCCCUUCAAUGUUGUCGUGUCCGUCUGAGAUGGUGCUGACAGAAUCAGAGUGCAUGGUAGUGCGCCGCCAGUACGUCUUCUCACAGGAACUAUAGCUGCACAGUGUGACAAACAGGAACAAGGUGGAACCCAUCACAAGCCACGCGUAUGAAGACUGGAGCGUCACACUCACCAUGAUUAACGUCAGAAUCAGGAACAGGAUUGUAGUUGCAAAUGCAGCCAUCGACAACCCUUUCUCCUAUAAUUAGGCAUAGUUCUGAUAUACAGAGUGCUAUUAGGAUAGUAUUAAAAUAACAUGAUAUUUUAAAAAAAGUUUGUAUCUCUUAGAAUUUGAUUAUUAGAUUUUGUAGAAUUUUUCUUGCAAGAGAGGAGAGGAAAAAUUAUAAUAGUGGUUGGAGGAAAAGCAAGAUAGUGAGCUCUGGUGACAGCAGAUGGAGCGGUGCUGACGUCAUUGAGAAACAAACCAUUAAUUGACGACGUGAGUUGUAUUAAUUAAUACCAUAUGUAAGACUUUUAUUGUCACUAAUCUUGUUUUGUUCACAAUUUUGUCUUGUAGUUUAUUUAACAAUAUACAACAAAAUUACCAGAAAGAUUCCUGAAAUAUGUAAUUCCAGCCUUAGGGUUGGAACUAUUGCUGCUAAAAUAUGAACGAUCGAUGACAA